CGUGUAGGCGGCUGGAUCAGUCAGAUGUGAAAUCUCUGGGCUUAACCCAGGACGUGCAUUUGAAACUGUCCAGCUUGAGUAGGGGAGAGGAAAGUGGAAUUCCUGGUGUAGAGGUGAAAUUCGUAGAUAUCAGGAGGAACACCGGUGGCGAAGGCGACUUUCUGGCCCUAUACUGACGCUGAGACGCGAGAGCGUGGGUAGCAAACA
rnacentral:rRNA from 1 species